AUAGUGGGGGAGUAGCCUUUCGAAAGGAAGAUUAAUACCGCAUAAGAUUGUAGUAUCGCAUGAUAUAGCAAUUAAAGGAGCAAUCCGCUAUAAGAUGGACCCGCGUCGCAUUAGCUAGUUGGUGAGGUGAUGGCUCACCAAGGCGACGAUGCGUAGCCGACCUGAGAGGGUGAUCGGCCACAUUGGGACUGAGACACGGCCCAGACUCCUACGGGAGGCAGCAUG
rnacentral:rRNA from 1 species